CAGCGGGGGAAAACUGUUACCUACCUUUCAUAGCUGUUGGUCUUAGAGAUGUGUUGCUCCUGUCCAUUCCAUUCUAGAUGUAACCCUGAGAUGCUAUGUCCAGCACCCAACGGUCCAAGGUGACUUGAGACCAGGCCAAACGGAAGGGAUGAAGACGGUUGAGGAAAGAGUGGGGUGGAUCCUGGAAGACCCUGGAUGAGACUGCCAAGGCCUAGGAGGCGGGAGUGGCUGGAACUGCUUUCUCCCAAGCUGCGGUGUAUGCAUGCCCAGCAAGCGAAGGGUGGUCCUGGUGUCCUUUAGCCCAUGCAGCCUAGCAUCUGUCUGGUCCGAAAAGACACUGUCCUGGAUGGAGGUCUGCAUUUCCUGGGAGAGUCCGAUGGUCUGAAGCCAGGAGCUGCGCCUCAUUACCAUUGCAAAUGCAACCACCCUGGCUGCUGAGUCUGCCACAUACCAUGCCAUCUGGAGGGAGCACCUGGCGGCCGCAUUGCCCUCCUCCACCAGGGUUUCACAUUCUUGGGCAAACCCUGUGGGAGGGACUCCUUGAACUUAUGGAGGGAGCCCAUAAGUUAAAAUCGUAACAGCCCAAGAGGAUCUGAUGGUUUGCCAAUGGAAUUGCAAACUGUCCGUCAAUUUUUCCUUCCAAACAGGUCCAACCGUUUGGCGUCUCUGGGUUGAGCUAGUAUGCCCCCGUUUGUCUCUGUCAUUGGCCACAGAGCCCACCAGCGAGCCUGGGGAAGGGUGGGUGUAGAUGUAUUCAAACCCUUUGGCAGGGAUAGAGUAUUUCUUUUCAGCCCUUUUUGAGGUGGGAAGAAUGGAGGAAGGAGUUUGCCAGAGGGCCUUGUCAAUCUUAAGAACACCAUCAUGCACUGGUUGUGCGACAUGGGUUGGGGUAGAGACUAACAGGACAUUAAACAGGGUGUCCAACUGCUCAGCCAUUUCCUCCACCUUCAGGCCCAAGUUCUGAGCCACCCAACACAGCAGGGCCUGGCAUUCUUAGAAAUCAUCCAGCAGGCUGGCCCUCGAGGGUCCCACAACCGCCUCAUCUAGGGACGAAGAUGAUGACUGCAUCACUGAGGGAGGCUCCAGGGCAUGUUACCCCACAGGGGAGGAAGGCUUAGGGGUGGGUGCAGUUCCCUCUGCCUCGAUCUCCUAGCAUGCCUCAUGCACUGGGCCUGGUGCAGUCUGUGCCACCAGCUGUUGCCUGAUGAGCUUUGUGAAGGGGACAUCGCCAUAACCGGCAUUUUGACAAAUAAAAUAUGCAGAAUUUUGGAUUGAAUUUCCCCAGGAGUAAAUUACUAUAAAUAAAGGAUUUACAAGGCCCUAAGGCUUGAAGUCAGUAGAUGAAAAACUGCUAGCCCUUGCAAUGCAAGGAAAGGUACUCAGACUAACCCUCAUGGAUGGUAAGAAGGAACUGAGAGGGCGUAGGGUCGGCGGUGCCUGAUAUACCCACGUAUGAGCGUGGCACUCAAGUGGGCACCACUGCCGACCCUACGGGUACCACAAAGGCAAAAAACUCAGACGACCGCACAUGGGCACGCACACACCUAGAAUGGAAUCGACCUGAGCAAGCACUCAAGGAAUAUGAAGAAUUUUGACUUCACACCAGCUGGGCACUCCUGUGCUAAUGGAUUUAUGCUCUAUGAGGCUCAGGGUAUGUCCCCCAUCUGUGAACUAGUGUAAGCAGGAGGCAGACGAUGACUGUCAUAAUUGCCUCCUGUCCUGGCAGCCACCCUGGGGUGUAUGCAUUUCUGAAGAAAAGAGAUUACAUUCUCAAGUUCAACCUCUAUGGUGAUGGCAUAACCAAGCAGCCCAUCAGUCCUAUCCUACUGCAGGUCUUUAAACCCAUGCAGAACCCAUUGUAGGCACAGAUGGGGAAGCUGGUGCUCAGGAGGUAGCUGACCCUUCUGCUUCACAUGAGUGCAUCUAGAAGAACAAUCCCACCCAACUUGAUUUCCUCCGAUUGUACUGAAACUAGACAGGGAGAACAGUCCAUUCUUACAAACCAGGAGACAGACUCAGAUCUUCCUGCUUUCAUUCCUAGCUCUGCCACUGACCAUGUAUAAUGUUGGUCAUUUAACAUUUUCAUGCCUCUAUUUACCCAUAUGUAAAUUGGACCAAAACCCUUCUGAGGCUCCGUUAACUAAUUCUGAAAAUACUUUUGAGAUCCAGGAAUGUAAUUAUAAAGCAUAAAUAAUGACUUUAGUAACAAUACUGCCUCACUGAAAUCACGUCAAAUUCUUAUUCACGGUUUUACACCUUGUAACAGGUUUGUAUUCAUUUAAUCUACAUUCAAUUCUGCUGUGUCACACUGAUUAAAACAGCCAGCCAUGUACAGUACAGGAGGCAGGGAAAGAUGUCACAUUUCAACUGUGUGGAGCAGUUGGGAGGAAUUGUUGCACACUAAACUGACCUAAUUCUUCAAUCUGCCAGAUUAAAGGCGUUAAAAAUGCUCAGAAAUAAUAAACUGACACACUCUGAUAGGUGCAAACAACUGCAGCACCUUUUUUUUGAUAUAACUCUAUUCCAUCAGGAUUUAGUAAUUAAAUAAAGAGCAUAAUCAACAAGACUGGAACUUAUUUAAAAAAAUCCCAUGCACCUGAACCAGUGAAAGUAUUAAAGUUGACUACACACAAUUUACUUCACAACAAUCAAUUCUGGAAUAUAUUUAAGUCCUUAAAAAAGUUAAUCUGUUUUAAACAGCAUCACACGUAUGUGAGACCUGGUUUAGGAGGAGUUUUCUCCCCAACCACUAGCGUGGGGAACUCCUAUUCCCAAGGGUUGGGAAUGCUCUUCCCACACUGCUCCGACUGUUAAUAAAUAAAUAAAUAAAUAAAUAAAAGUAUGUUUGAGCAUGGCAUCUGGGAACCCCUUGGUAGAACAGGCAGUCUGGGGACAAUGGGACAGAACUGCGAUAAAGUUACUGUUAACCAGGGAGACAGGAUGCUCAAUGGAUUGAUUGCGAGUGCCUCUGUAUUCCAGUGAAGCCUCUCUCACAAAGACAUGUGUGUGUGUUAGGAACAGAACCAGGCAAAUGUCUCCAGAUAGGGUUGUCCGAGGUGGAUUCAGUGUUGACAUGCAGCUGUGGUGGAAACUGUUUUGUCCAUAGCUGUCCCUCCGCAUGCAUCAAGGAAAACAGCAAAGAACAGAAGUGUUCUCCUGGUGGUACCGAUGGCUGUGUCCCACGAGCCGUGGGAUUCCCUCACAGAUCAAAGAUGCCGUGGCAAGUGGUGGGGCAUUACAAGUCUGUCAAAGUCUCUCAGCUUUUAUUAAUUUGAUUCCUGGUAAUGUAAAACACCCCUGUAGCAGAAAGCCACACUGCUCAUUCCCACAUCAUAUGAAAUCAUUCACCAUUUUAUGUACAAGUUCUGAAUUACAAUCUUCAACUUUUCAUCAAAAAACAAAAAUAAAGCCUAAAAAAGCAUUUUUUGGUAAAACUGCACAGUAUAAAGAAGCAUACUUUCAUUACACAAUGUCUUACACAACA